rnacentral:rRNA from 1 species
AGAGUUUGAUCCUGGCUCAGAGCGAACGCUGGCGGCAGGCUUAACACAUGCAAGUCGAGCGGGCACCUUCGGGUGUCAGCGGCAGACGGGUGAGUAACACGUGGGAACGUGCCCUUUGGUUCGGAACAACUCCGGGAAACUGGAGCUAAUACCGGAUAAGCCCUUCGGGGGAAAGAUUUAUCGCCAAAGGAUCGGCCCGCGUCUGAUUAGCUUGUUGGUGAGGUAAUGGCUCACCAAGGCGACGAUCAGUAGCUGGUCUGAGAGGAUGAUCAGCCACACUGGGACUGAGACACGGCCCAGACUCCUACGGGAGGCAGCAGUGGGGAAUAUUGGACAAUGGGCGCAAGCCUGAUCCAGCCAUGCCGCGUGAGUGAUGAAGGCCCUAGGGUUGUAAAGCUCUUUCGGCGGGGACGAUAAUGACGGUACCCGCAGAAGAAGCCCCGGCUAACUUCGUGCCAGCAGCCGCGGUAAUACGAAGGGGGCUAGCGUUGCUCGGAAUCACUGGGCGUAAAGGGCGCGUAGGCGGCCAUUCAAGUCAGGGGUGAAAGCCUGUGGCUCAACCACAGAAUUGCCUUUGAUACUGUUUGGCUAGAGACCGGAAGAGGUAAGUGGAACUGCGAGUGUAGAGGUGAAAUUCGUAGAUAUUCGCAAGAACACCAGUGGCGAAGGCGGCUUACUGGUCCGGUUCUGACGCUGAGGCGCGAAAGCGUGGGGAGCAAACAGGAUUAGAUACCCUAGUAGUCC